UCCGGUUUGUCACCGGCGGUCUCCUUAGAGUGCCCAACUGGAUGCUGGCAACUAAGGACAAGGGUUGCGCUCGUUGCGGGACUUAACCCAACAUCUCACGACACGAGCUGACGACAGCCAUGCAGCACCUGUCUCUGGGCUCCUUGCGGCACCCCCGAAUCUCUUCAGGGUUCCCAGGAUGUCAAGACCAGGUAAGGUUCUUCGCGUUGCAUCGAAUUAAACCACAUGCUCCACCGCUUGUGUGGGUCCCCGUCAAUUCCUUUGAGUUUCAGUCUUGCGACCGUACUCCCCAGGCGGAAUGCUUAAUGUGUUAACUUCGGCACCAAGGGUAUUGAAACCCCUAACACCUAGUGCCCAUCGUUUACAGCGUGGACUAC
rnacentral:misc_RNA from 1 species